rnacentral:lncRNA from 1 species
UGAACUGUGAUUUAAUAUCAGUUGUGUUUGAGAAUUGGUUUUUUCCAAUUAUUUUUUUCUUUUUCUGGGGAAGAUGGAUGUGGUUGCUUUUCAUUCCUAUAGCGUUCUUGGCUUCUCUUUCUCCACGAGUUUCUCUUUGAGCAAGCACUGCUAUUUACCUGGUACUUCAACUUCCUACCUUGUUCUGUUCUGAGAGAGUGAGGUAUUAAAGAUUUCUGAAAAUCUUAUUUGAUUGCUGUUUUCUUGGAUUCAUUUCAU